GCGUAAGAACGAAUGAAAACGGGUCUGUUUGAGAGAAGAUGUCUCUCACGCGCUGUGACUACGGUAAUACGCAUUGUGGAGCGUCAUGCGGAGUGUAUGGCAUACACUUGCGACGCAACUCGAGAAUUGCAAAUUUUAGGACUUUUCCGUGCCUUCUUUUUCCGUUUCCCUCCUAUUUUUUCAGCAAUUUUUGAAAAAAAAUCAAUU
ensembl:ncRNA F56F3.10 ncRNA